CGAGGACGGUUUCUUCGUCAUUUUUCGUGUCUCCACAAACACAACCUGUACUCACAUCCCCGCCCUAAACGCCAUGAAUCAACGCACAAACCUUCAUUUCUUCUUGUAGGCCUAGCUACAAUUCUUUUUGUAUUUUUAAAUUUCGCUUCCAAAAUCGCAAUUUUUCUUAUUUUCACUCCAGAUCCGCUGAUUUUUUGGCCUUGAUUUUGCUCUGAAUUUACGAUCUCACCCAAAACAACAAAACCCUACCCUGACUUGCAGAGCAAAAAUAGACUAUUAUCUUUCCUUGUCGACCUGCUAUCUUUCUUUUACGGUUAUACCGCACUAGAAACCCUAGUUUUUUCCCUAGGUUUAUUUUCUGUUGUAUAAACUUCUCGUCGCUUCCAUUCUUUUACCUAACGCUAGAGCUUUUAGUACCAUUGUUUGUAAUUAAUUGACUGUUAGGUUCUGUUCCUUGGUUUCUUUUGAAAGUUUUUGCACAAAUUUUAGGCUACAUAGUCAGGGUUAGGGCUGUUAGUGAUGAACGGUAAUAAUAGAGGGCGGUAUCCGCCAGGGAUCGGUGCCGGGAGAGGCGCAGGCAUGAACGCAAACCCUAGUUUUCAGUCACGGGUUCCGCAGCAGCAGUAUGUGCAAAGGAAUAUGGUGCAGAAUCACCAGCAGUUUCAACAUCAACAACACCAGCAUCACCAACAGCAACAGCAGCAGCAGCAGCAGCAACAACAGCAGUGGCUGAGGAGGAGCCAGUUACCUGCUGCGGAUUCCAGUGUUGACGAGGUUGAGAAGACCGUUCAGUCUGAGGCCGUUGACUCCAGUUCACAAGAUUGGAAGGCAAGGUUAAAGAUACCACCAGCUGAUACACGCUACAAAACAGAGGAUGUCACAGCGACAAAAGGAAACGAGUUUGAGGACUAUUUUCUGAAAAGGGAACUGCUUAUGGGAAUAUAUGAGAAGGGCUUCGAAAGACCGUCUCCUAUUCAGGAAGAAAGCAUACCAAUUGCUCUUACUGGUAGUGAUAUUCUUGCUAGAGCUAAAAAUGGGACUGGGAAAACGGCAGCUUUUUGUAUUCCUGCCUUGGAAAAGAUUGACCAAGAUAACAAUGUCAUUCAAGUUGUUAUACUUGUUCCAACAAGGGAGUUGGCUCUUCAGACAUCACAAGUUUGCAAGGAGCUUGGGAAGCACUUGAAAAUUCAAGUGAUGGUUACUACAGGUGGUACAAGUCUAAAAGAUGACAUCAUGCGUUUAUAUCAACCUGUCCAUUUGCUGGUUGGAACUCCUGGAAGAAUACUGGACCUUGCAAAAAAGGGUGUUUGCAUUUUGAAAGACUGUUCAAUGCUUGUUAUGGAUGAGGCUGACAAACUUUUGUCUCCAGAAUUUCAACCUUCUGUGGAGCAGCUGAUCCGUUUUCUUCCUCCAACUCGUCAGAUUUUGAUGUUUUCUGCUACAUUUCCUGUUACUGUUAAGGAUUUCAAGGAUAGAUAUUUACACAAGCCUUAUAUUAUCAAUCUUAUGGAUGAGCUUACUUUGAAGGGUAUUACGCAGUAUUAUGCUUUUGUUGAAGAACGACAGAAAGUCCACUGUCUAAACACUCUUUUCUCUAAGCUUCAAAUAAACCAAUCUAUCAUUUUCUGCAACUCGGUGAAUCGUGUAGAACUGUUGGCCAAGAAGAUCACAGAACUUGGAUAUUCUUGUUUUUAUAUCCAUGCUAAGAUGUUGCAAGACCAUCGCAACAGAGUGUUUCAUGACUUCCGCAAUGGUGCAUGCAGGAAUCUUGUCUGCACGGAUUUGUUUACCAGGGGUAUAGACAUCCAAGCUGUGAACGUAGUUAUUAACUUUGAUUUCCCCAAGAAUUCUGAGACGUAUCUUCACAGGGUUGGUCGAUCAGGAAGGUUCGGGCACCUUGGUUUGGCUGUGAAUUUGAUUACCUAUGAGGACCGCUUUAACUUGUAUAGGAUUGAGCAAGAGCUUGGGACUGAAAUUAAGCAAAUUCCUCCUCAUAUUGAUCAGGCAAUUUAUUGCCGGUAAAUUGUGGUAGAUCCCUUGCCUUUUCUUCAACAAUGGUGAGUAGCAACAAGAGGUAGAAAUGGGGGUCCAAGUUGUCAAAUGUUGAUUGAAGCAGUAUCUAUCUCUGCAUCUGCAUCUGCAUCUGCAUCUGAGGGCGACUUCUGAGAAUUAAAUAUUGUGAUGGAAGACUUUGAUUGCUGUAUGCAUUUAACCCUGGAAUGCUUUUGUUUGUUUCUGAAUUUUCAUAGCCUGAAACGGUACCAGGAUUAUAGGUUAGAAUUUUAAUGAUCUAUAAAUCCCAGAGAGAUACUGGGUCCAGUUCUGUGUUGUGUUUGAUUUCCAUGACAAACUGGUUUUGAUAUUAUCAGCCAAGUAUUAUCACUGUUGAAUGUUGAAGGUUGUACUUUUGUGGAAAGUAUCUCAGUUCCUCUCCCUCUUGGAUCCAUUAAUAAAGGCUAUGACUUGAGAAUC